rnacentral:lncRNA from 7 species
AACAGAUGGUUGGGGUUAGUGUGUGUCAUCACACUCGAGUGGGGAUUAGGGCAGAGAGGCAGCCCGGCUGGAGCUGUGUGGUCUUCCCCAAGUGGGAGCUGCGAGCAAAAGAAGAACCACCUAGCUUUGGGGGAGAAGAGGGAGGAAUCCUCUCCAGCAGCUCAGAGGGAAAAAUAAAACCCCCACACUUUAUUCAGAUCUUCACACUGACUUGCCCAUACCUGUGUGCCUAUGAGUUACUGGCCUCCUGCUCGUGAAGGAAAUCUCACACUCUCCUCACCGCUUACAGUCAGAAAAAAAGACUGAUCUGGGGAAGAGUGGAAAAACAAUGACAAUAUAUCUUUCUUGCAUAAGACAAAGGUGUUGCCUACAGUAAAUUCACUGAGCAAGAAAUACAGACUUCUGUCCAGUGCUAUGAAAAUUAACCAAGGCACAUUAACUUCAGGAAAUCUUCAAAGUCUCUACCAAGUGCUGUUGUACCAGUCUGAUUCUUGGAUUGAGGAUGCACUGAAAUUUGCUGUUGUUGCUCUGCUGAGAGCAGUCUGAAUAUUGUAUCACACAACCAACACAGACUGGGGAAAAAUAAAGAGAUGUGGUGCAGAGCUGAAGAUGAUACAAAAUACAAUAGCAGCAAAGAUCUAACAAUUAACUCAAAGAGUAUUAAUUAGAAUAAGCAGCAGAGCGGUGAUUACUGGGUGUUUGCUGGGAGACAAGGUGAUGACAGAGAACUGAGUGGAUCUGUUCCAGUGCAGGAACAGAAUCACAGGAUGGCUGAGGUUGGAAGGAAUCUCUGGAGGCCAUCUGGUCCAAUCCUUCUGCUCGAGCAGGGACACUCAGAGUUUCUUGCUCAGGAACAUUUCAAAGAUAGAACUGUUCUCACUGAGGUUUGAGACUUCUGAAAAAAUUCUGGUGAUAUUUUUAUUAAAGUGCUGCUCUAGCACAAGUCCGAUAUUGUACAGUUCCCAUAUUUUCUAUGAUUCAUGAUUGUCACAGUGAUUGUAUUAAAGUUAGAUAUGUAGUUCAUGCUGCCUGACAAGCAAUUUCACAAACACAACUUGCAUCUUAUAAAUCACUAGUAAUAAAGACUAUACGAGAGAUUUUAGGUAGAUAUCACCAUUAUAACUUCUGAACAAACCAUUUACCUUUGUAGGACUUGCUCCAGUGUAUCUGAGAGGAAUUUAAUUAACAAUUAAGUUAAUGCACAUGGUUUAAAAUCUUGUUAAUAUUGUUAAUAUUAUUUGCCAGAAAGAGAUCACAGGGGG